rnacentral:rRNA from 1 species
UACGUAGGGGGCUAGCGUUGUCCGGAUUUAUUGGGCGUAAAGAGCUCGUAGGCGGUUUGUCGCGUCGAAUGUGAAAACCCGGGGCUCAACCCCGGGCCUGCAUUCGAUACGGGCAGACUAGAGUUCGGUAGGGGAGACUGGAAUUCCUGGUGUAGCGGUGAAAUGCGCAGAUAUCAGGAGGAACACCGGUGGCGAAGGCGGGUCUCUGGGCCGAUACUGACGCUGAGGAGCGAAGGCGUGGGGAGCGAACAGG